AAGAUCUCCUGGACCCAGACUGGAAGACGUAUCAGAAAGGAAAUUACAAGGAGAAAUCCGGUGGUGGGGAGAAGCAGCAUGACAAUAACCUGAAAGAUGGCCAAAAGAAAGAUGCUGCUUUGGUUGGUGAGAGCCCCCGACUCCAGGAAGAAAACUGUUUUCCCAAGUGGUCUACAGAACAGUUGAAG